UUCUAUGGGUUUUACUACUUUAUUCGAGCUAGAAAAGCCUCUUUAGCCCUAAAAUUCAAAGUGAUUUUUCUCAUCUCUCAAUGAUGCCUUCUCAGCUAAGCCAACUUCCCUCCCCAAGAGAAAGCCCAAACCAUUCUACAUAGCCACUCUAUCUGGAAGUUCUUACAAACUGCACGAAUAGGAAAUACGCAAUGCAGACAUGACCGGGAAUGGUACGGACCCGAAAAGCCUUACAAAGCGCUCCCAUGAUAAAUCCCUGGUAAUUUUUUUUAGGGCCGAGGGGGAGCGCAAGUGGAGACCGGCCAUCCUUUGUCCAACUGAAACUUAUUUUAUUUUCAUUCUCAGUUUUUUGGCUGCCCCUCAACGGGCUCGCUCAAACAACAAAGUCAACAAGGAAAACUAGGAAAAGCUGCCGAGAAGGAGAAGUAAAAUCUCUUGCAAUUAGCGCUGGGAAAAGUUCUCGGCUCUAAUUGAUUUGCUGUAAACCGUUUGACGCUUUGGUCGUCGUCCUGCUUUGCGAUGCCUGCAAGCUCAACUUUAAAAUUUAAUGCCCUCCCAUCCCAUGGCGUCCUUCGUCCUGAUGCACUAAACUAUGCAACACAAUUGUUAUUGAACACGUGCACGCGCCCUCUGCAGCCAUGUGGAGCAGAAGAAGGAGCAGCCCCAGCACCAGCACCAGCAGCAGGAGAGCAUUCGAAGAGAAGGGAAAGAGCGGAGUAGAGCGCAGAGCCAUCGUCAAAAGCAAAACAAAGAGGUUUUUUCCCAGCACAACUCGGGUGCUUAAAAAUGCUAACAAGUUGGGGAAAAAAUGUGUGGGAAAAAGGUGCCAGAGGGUUGACAGCUGGGUUCAGCAAAAGGAUUAAUGAUUGGGAACAAGACACGAAGCCCAACGGCGCAACCGAAUAAAGAAGAUCUGUCCCAUGGCAGAGAUUAGAAGAGAUCAAAAACCGGACAUCAUUUUACAGUUCAGUUACAGCUCAGAGCUGUGCCGGAAUAUGGCGUAGAAUAUUAUUUCGAAUUCAAAAGAAGACUUAGGAGCAUAGGUAAUCCGAAUAAGUCUCUCUGCCCAUCGAUUCCACAAAUGUAUUGAACCACCCACGGGGGCAGCACUGCCAUACCCAAGUGCAACAAAAUGCACGGAGGCAUUGCGGCAGCAGAAGAGACGAGUAACAGCUUUGCCAAAUGGUUGGAGGUAGGGACUAUUUGAAAAAUUCAAAGCAAACAAAAACGACAACUGGUGGAGCUUUGCACUUGCCUCCCCCGAGUCGCGCCACCCGCCUAAAAAAUCACACAAAAGUUAUCGCUAGCGUACAUGCAAGCGAGACAAUAACUCGAACACGCUUCGAUCGGGCAGGUGAGAAGUUGUCGAAUGCAUUCGCAACCCCUUUUAAAGUUUUCCCAACUGAACAAAUACAGAGAGCCGACGAUAAAGCCUAGCAGCAGCAGCAGAAGACAAACACGUAAGCUGUGAGGGAAGUCCACUCCGCACCACAAAAAAAGAAGAAAGAACAGGAAAGAAAAUCCAUCAAAAAAUUAGCCACUGCCUGAGGCCGUGUCCUGGCGAGAGCACUUGAGUUGAAAACCCAUUUUAGCCCCGCUGCCUUUGCCGCUCUUGACGCGGCGUCACUUUUGACGCCUCCGCACCGCAAAGCCGCCACAGGCUGG